AUGUGGGAGUCACUGAGGGGCAGAGUGGGGAUGGACACGGGUACAGGCAUGGUGGACAGAAGUACAGGUGUGCUGGACACAGGCAGAGGUGUGAUGGACACAGGUACAGGUCUGAUGGACAGGUACAGCUGUGCUGGACAGGUACAGGUGUGCUGGACACAGAUACAGGUGUGCUGGACACGGGUACAGGUGUGCUGGACAUGGGUACAGGUGUGCUGGACACAGGAUGGACACAGGUAUGGGCAUGGUGGACACAGGUACAGGUGUGCUGGACACGGGUACAGGUGUGAUGGACACAGGUACAGGUGUGCUGGACACAGGAUGGACACAGGUACAGGUGUGCUGGACACAGGUACAGGUGUGCUGGACACAGGAUGGACACAGGUACAGGUGUGCUGGACACAGGUACAGGUGUGAUGGACAGGUACAGGUGUACUGGACACGGGUACAGCUGUGCUGGACACAGGUACAGGUGUGCUGGACACGGAUAGGUGUGCUGGACACGGGUCCAGCUGUGCUGGACACAGGUACAGCUGUGCUGGACACGGGUACAGCUGUGCUGGACACAGGUAUGGGCAUGGUGAACACAUGUACAGGUGUAGAGGACACAGGAACAGCUGUGAUGGACACAGGUACAGGUGUGAUGGAUACAGGCACAGGUGUGCUGGACACAGGUACAGGUGUGCUGGACACAGGAUGGACACAGGUACAGGUGUACUGGACACGGGUACAGCUGUGAUGGACACAGGUGUGCUGGACACGGGUACAGCUGUGAUGGACACAGGUACAGGUGUGCUGGACACGGGUACAGCUGUGCUGGACACAGGUACAGGUGUGAUGGACACGGGUACAGCUGUGCUGGACACGGGUACAGC